AUUGAACGCUGGCGGCAGGCCUAACACAUGCAAGUCGAGCGGGGUUUUCGGACCUAGCGGCGGACGGGUGAGUAAUGCGUAGGAAGCUACCCGAUAGAGGGGGAUACAGUUGGAAACGACUGUUAAUACCGCAUAAUGUCUACGGACCAAAGUGUGGGACCUUCGGGCCACAUGCUAUCGGAUGCGCCUACGUGGGAUUAGCUAGUUGGUGGGGUAAUGGCUCACCAAGGCGACGAUCCCUAGCUGGUUUGAGAGGAUGAUCAGCCACACUGGAACUGAGACACGGUCCAGACUCCUACGGGAGGCAGAAGUGGGGAAUAUUGGACAAUGGGCGCAAGCCUGAUCCAGCCAUGCCGCGUGUGUGAAGAAGGCCUUCGGGUUGUAAAGCACUUUCAGUAGGGAGGAAGGGGGUUGUGUUAAUAGCACAGCAUUUUGACGUUACCUACAGAAGAAGCACCGGCUAACUCUGUGCCAGCCGCCGCAGUAAAAC
rnacentral:rRNA from 1 species